GUGCCAGCAGCCGCGGUAAUACGAAGGGGGCUAGCGUUGUUCGGAAUUACUGGGCGUAAAGCGCACGUAGGCGGAUCGAUUAGUCAGGGGUGAAAGCCCAGAGCUCAACUCUGGAACUGCCUUUGAUACUGUCGAUCUGGAGCAGAGUAGAGGUGAGUGGAAUUCCGAGUGUAGAGGUGAAAUUCGUAGAUAUUCGGAGGAACACCAGUGGCGAAGGCGGCUCACUGGACUCUUGCUGACGCUGAGGUGCGAAAGCGUGGGGAGCAAACAGGAUUAGAAACCCUCGUAGUCC
rnacentral:rRNA from 1 species